AACGUUUGAUCUCAAUACCGUUUUCUGUUCCCAGAACUAGAAUAUGUGACGAACAGACUUUACCCUUUGCCAAAUGAAUUGCGUUGUUUAGAAGGAGUGCAAGGGCCAAUUGAGUUAUUACAUACGCACACUUGACAGUAGGCGUUCUCUAACGGAAAUAUGCAACGACAUGCUAGAACGCGCAAAUAGGAUCUCUCUACAUCGUGCUUGGCUCUUGUUCGUUCCCAUUCGAAACGCCAGUUGGUGGUCUAUCUUGGGUUAGUUAUACAAAUCUUUGGAAUGGUAAUCUGUUCUUCUUCUUCUGUGUUUUUUAAAGGUGCAUUAAGAAAUCGUUCCGCCAUUUCCUGGUUGCUAAAAUUUCAGACAAAACAAGCAGGUAUUAAACCGGUGUGAAAUAUAUUUUCCAUAACCAAAAAUAUUGUAUUUUCAGCUGUUUGAAGCUGGUGUACAAAACCGAAAGUAAAAACAUAGAAAUAAUGCACAUAUAACAGAUCUAGCACUUCUUCAAAUCAAAUUUUAUUUGUCACAUACACAUUGUUAGCAGAUGUGAAUGCAAGUGUAGCGAAAUGCUUGUGCUUCUAGUUUCGACAUUGCAGUAAUAUCCAUCGAGUAAUCUAACCUAACAAUUUCACAGCAAUUACCUUAUACACACAAGUGUAAAGGAAUGAAUAAGAAUAUGUACAUAAAAACAUAUAUGAAUGAAUGAUGGUAUAGAAAGAAAUAGGCAAGAUGCAGUAGAUGGUAUAGAGUACAGUAUAUACAUAUGAGAUGAGUAAUGUAGGGUAUGUAAACAUAUAAAGACUUGCUUUCAAUUAACAUGACAGAUCUAUAACUUAUUUCUAUGUGAAUUUGGUAGGGUCAACCAAGCAGUUACAUAUUGCAGCUUUAAAUGGAGGUUGGCAACCUAAAUGUGAAUUACUGCCACCAACUGGAGAUGAAUGUAAAUAUAUUUCACUUUGUGAUACAAAAGGGAAAGAAAUUACCCUGCCAACUAAUCCAUCACUUAUAAAAUAAAAACCCACCACCCCAUUCCAUUACUUUCUGAAUCUACCCCAGGUCAACAGCCUAGGAGGAUGGGACACCACCAUUCAACACUCCUUGUAAUCCUCUGCAGUAAAAUCUGAAGUGCUUCCCUGCAGCUUCCCCUACAACACCUAUUGUCUGUGAUUUGCGUUCCAUUUCUGCGGUAGAGUUGAUAACCAUGGCAAUGAAUGCUAAAAAGCCAACCUGACUGAAGCACAUUUAAUUCGUGGAACUAUUACUCUGUACUGGCAAAGGACUACUAUUCACCGGGAGCAUUUGUAGAAUCCCUCAUCCUUGACCCAUCUUCCUCUACUCUCUUCAUAGCCCAAUCAGUUGUGAGUCUACUCUCCACAGAUUAUAGAAAGUAGCAGGCCAGUCUGACUGCAUGUUUACUUCUGAUAUGACCCUGAAACACGACAGGUCGGAGCCAACCGAGUUAAUUUAUCCUGAAUCAGAAACAGAAUCAUGCUACUAUGAGGCUGAACAAGAAUUGUUCCACUGCACCAGGGUACAGAGAGGGAUGAAAGGCACCUUCCCUCGACAUCUUCACUGAGUCUACAUUUUCACAAGUCAUUCCAUGUUUGCUUCAAGAUUAUAUCAUCCUGUAAAAUAAAAAACAUUUUGUACA